UGUGGGCAUGGGAGGAGGAGUUGGUAGCGGAGUGUAGGAUCUUACUUGCUAAUGUUACUUUGCUGUCUAGUGUUUCAGAUCACUUGCAAUGGCACCCCGACAUUGUGGGGGGUUAUUCGGUGCGUUCAGGAUAUCAGUUGCUCACUACUCAGCCUUCCUCUUCGAUUGGGGGAUUAAUAGACUCUUAUUUGGCAUCCUCUGGUUCCCUAAAAGGUUUCUAUCUUAGCUUGGUGGUUGCUUCGUGACAAGUUGCCAAGAAAAAUCAACCUCCUUGACUGUGGUAUAAUAGAUGCUGAUGAUAUUUCUUGAGUGGCGGGUUGCGGUCACGUUGAAAGCGCUAACAUUUGUUUAUUAAUUGUGAAAUUUUCGGCUCUUUAUGGCAGCAAGUUCGUUUGUGGCUUGGCUUUUCAGGUGUUGAUCACCAUAGCCUCACCACUCAUUUUACCAACUAUUUAGGUGGCUCGAGGAGUCGUAGAUCAUUCCUUCUGUUACUGUGGCUUCUUUGUGUUUGGCUCAUAUGGAAAGAACGUAAUAAUAUAAUUUUUAAUAAUGUUUAUACUUCCAUUACGAGUCUUAUGGAAAAGGUAAAUUAGUUUAAUUCUUACGUGUGGUUAAGGGCUAAUAGUUCCUCUUUUGUGUAUGGUUGUCAGCAGUGGCGGUCAGACUCUUUGUUUUGUUUGGGUAUCGGUUGAUGCCUUAUUUUGUAUCUAUUUGACAUACUAUUUGUACUUUGAGUGAUCUCUUUAAUUCGCCUUAUGCUUAACAGGCGUCUUUGUUAUUGUGAAUAUAUACCAUUUUAGUUUC
rnacentral:lncRNA from 1 species